rnacentral:rRNA from 1 species
CGAAAACGAAUUCUCUCUUGAGUGGAUCCUGAGUACGACGGAGCACGUGAAAUUCCGUCGGAAUCUGGGAGGACCAUCUCCUAAGGCUAAAUACUCUCUAGUGACCGAUAGUGAACCAGUACCGUGAGGGAAAGGUGAAAAGUACCCCGGAAGGGGAGUGAAAGAGAACUUGAAACCGUGUGCUUACAAGUAGUCAGAGCCCGUUAAUGGGUGAUGGCGUGCCUUUUGUAGAAUGAACCGGCGAGUUACGAUCUGAUGCAAGGUUAAGCAGAAAAUGUGGAGCCGUAGCGAAAGCGAGUCUGAAUAGGGCGAAUGAGUAUUUGGUCGUAGACCCGAAACCAGGUGAUCUACCCUUGGUCAGGUUGAAGUUCAGGUAACACUGAAUGGAGGACCGAACCGACUUACGUUGAAAAGUGAGCGGAUGAACUGAGGGUAGCGGAGAAAUUCCAAUCGAACUUGGAGAUAGCUGGUUCUCUCCGAAAUAGCUUUAGGGCUAGCCUCAAGUGAUGAUUAUUGGAGGUAGAGCACUGUUUGGACGAGGGGCCCCUCUCGGGUUACCGAAUUCAGACAAACUCCGAAUGCCAAAUAAUUUAACUUGGGAGUCAGAAUGUGGGUGAUAAGGUCCAUAUUCGAAAGGGAAACAGCCCAGACCACCAGCUAAGGUCCCAAAAUAUAUGUUAAGUGGAAAAGGAUGUGGCGUUGCCCAGACAACUAGGAUGUUGGCUUAGAAGCAGCCAUCAUUUAAAGAGUGCGUAAUAGCUCACUAGUCGAGUGACACUGCGCCGAAAAUGUACCGGGGCUAAACAUAUUACCGAAGCUGUGGAUUGUCCUUUGGACAAUGGUAGGAGAGCGUUCUAAGGGCGUUGAAGCAUGAUCGCAAGGACAUGUGGAGCGCUUAGAAGUGAGAAUGCCGGUGUGAGUAGCGAAAGACGGGUGAGAAUCCCGUCCACCGAUUGACUAAGGUUUCCAGAGGAAGGCUCGUCCGCUCUGGGUUAGUCGGGUCCUAAGCUGAGGCCGACAGGCGUAGGCGAUGGAUAACAGGUUGAUAUUCCUGUACCACCAUUAUUCGUUUUAAGCGAUGGGGGG